UAGUGGGUGGAGAGUCUUUCAAGGACACCCGGUUUAGGGUAUGUUGUGUCCUAGUAUUGGGCUCCAAUUAAAAAACUAAAAUCCUAUUGAAAUAACAAAACGCGGCACACUGCACUGUACUUCGCGUUUUCAAUUCCCUCCCAAAAUUUCACUUCCCUCCUCCCCCAAUUUUCGAUUUUCCUCUUCAAUUGAAACCCUCCCCAAAUAGAGAAAGAUGUUUCAUUCACUCUGGGUUGACGCAUUCUGGGCGCCGCCAAGCUUCGGUAGAGAGUCUCUGUUGUGUUCUCUCUCUCAGGCAAUUUCUUGGUCGCUUCCUCUAACACUCGCACAGACACGCCUUUAUCUCUCGUCUUUAAUCUAUCUCUGUAUUCUAGGAUUUCAAUUUAACCUAAUUUUUUUGUAAUUCAUUGGAAUGGACUCUGAUUCGUAGAGCAAUCUCUUCCCGUCCUCAAACGCGAGGUGAUCUGUUCGAACACGAGGAAACAUAAGGAGACGAUGAGAUAAAGGCUGAGUUGCUGUGCCCCUUUUGCGUGGAAGAUUUCGAUGUCGUUGGGGUAUAAUAAUUUUGCAAAGAACGGGGUAUAAUUAUAAAUCAGAUUCUGGGUCAUCCGAUUCUCUGGAUAGCUUAUUUGGCGACAAAGAUGCAAGCAGUGCUCUGGAAGUUUCUAGUAUCAUUCAACCAAAAGAGGCUGAUUACCCAUUUUGUUGCCUAUCAGUUGAAGAUGCUCCAAUCAAUGACUUGGUAGAUUUUAUCAUUGCUUCUCAGAUAUCUGUGAAACUUGAGAAUGAGCACAACUGCCAUAUCUAUAGGUCUUGUGUGAAAAUUAAAGUCGGACAAUUUCAGAGGGGAAUCGUACUUGGUAUUAAUAAAGGUGGUGUUGAUGUCUGCAACUGCUGAUAUUGGAAGGUACAGGGAUUACUUUAAAGAUCUUGGCGGAGAUGAACAGGUCACUUAUUGUCAAUUUGGCAACCGCUAACUGCUACAAAGUUGAGCAUUUGAAAAGACCAGAAAACUGGGCAUUAGUUGAGAAGGCCAAGUACAUCUAUGUUGCUGGUUUUUUCUCAACUGUAUAUCCAGAAUCCAUUCAGCUUGUUACUGAACAUGUAGCUGCAAAUAACAAGGUUUUCAGCAUGAACCUUUCUACCCCAUUUAUCUGUGAAUUUUUCAAGGAUGUCCAGGAGAAAGCUAGCUGUGCCCUGCUCAACGAGCCUAAAACAAUGGUUGAUUGUUGCUCAUUUGACAUUAUUUUUGGCAGAAAAUGCAUCUAUCUUGCUCAAGAGAGUUACUACAAAGCUUACACAACAGUGCCAUGCUCACUGAUGCAACAACAAAUUUAGUGAAUUCAGCUGGGUUAGAUGAUUUGAAGCUUUUGACAUAUUUUUGGAAGCUCAGAAUACAAAGACGUAAGUAGCCAAUGUGUUGUUCUGCUUAUUUAUGUGAAUUCUAUUUGCUUAUCCCCCCAACUUCACAGUGCCUAUCUUUGAAAUUGGAUUAUAAUAUAACUGCUUAUCAGAAAAUAAAUAUAUUGCUGAGAGCUGCAACAUUGUUUUAUUUUGGUAUGGAGAUAUAUUCCAAGAUACACCUUCAGUUGGUUGGUGAAAGCCAUGUGGGAUCUAAGUUUCCAGCUUGCAUAUUCCAGCUGCUAUAGUUUCAUUCUAAUUGUUUAACUUUUGUUUCGCAGCCUCUCAUCACCCAAUUUUGACUUCGGUAUUAGUCUUUUUCUCCAAUUCCACUAUAAAUAAGAAACUUCAUAUUUGUUUUCAGUUUGACUUGCAUCUAUUUCUUAGUUACUUCAUUUCAUAAAUAUUGUCUAAUGUGUUCAUCUACUUGUUUCUUUGCAACUUGAAAUCUUAAUUUUCCUUUAAUGAGUCAUUUCAAAAUUUAGUGUUGUAAUGCACAUUCCUCAUUGGUUGUAAAAGGUCAGGAGUUGCCAUCUUAAUGGUAAAGUAUGAAUACUUAUUGUUUCAUGGAGAGUUGCCAUCAUGUAUUAACAUACAUUUCUCAUUGGUUGUAGUUAUGUUGCAGUGGAGAUAUGUGGGCUGCUAUUGAUGGUGUAUCAAAGGCUUCUCAAGGUAGUGAAUAUUGGUAAUCAGUCCCAGUUUUGCAUGUCUGCACAGUACUGUACGAUGAAGCAUUACCUACAUUUCUACCUUUUACAGUCCCAAUUUGUUAUACUUUAUAAAUUUGUUUGCAUAUGGUGUAUUUUGAUUCAAUUAAUAUUGCAUUUGGUGGUGUAUUUUGAGGGGUGUACAAUUGGAGAAAGCUUCCUUUUAUUAUUAAUGCCAUUUUUUUUUUGGGUUUUUUACAAGUUUUAAGGACACGUUUUGAACGUCCUCUAUGACUCUUUUAAGUGUCCUGUUUUAGUUUUAAGGACACAUAUGAGUGUAUUUUUUGUGUCCUCUUAUGGUUUUAAGGACUCCAUUUUCAGAGCUUUUAGGACACCGUUUGUGUGUCCUAGUAUAGAAUAGAGGACACCUAUUAGAAGAUAUAAGGAUGCAAUUUAGGUGUCCUCUUAUGGAUUUAAGGACACUGCAUCUAGAGCUUUAAGGACACACAAACUGUGUCCUCGUAUAGAAAAGAGGACACGUUUUCAAUGUCCUUGUUUGAGACUUAUAAUGACUGCUGGAUAGAGGACUCUUUUUUAAAGAGUCCUUGUAUGUAUUUAAGGACACUGUUUCAGUGUCCUUAAAUGGUGUUUUUCUAG